GUUACGGCACGGGUCAUAUCCUAGUCUAUCUUACGAAAACGAAGAGUCUCUGCCGUUUCAAAUGUUUGCCACUCAAUGGAAUUAACUCAGCCUUAAACCAGACGCGUGAAGAAUUUGUCCAGUCGAUCUACUAUAACCCCAGCACAGAAUCAAGUUAUUUCAAGUACCCUUCCCUAAUUUGAGGUGCCGGAGGAAUUUCCAUGCAGGGGCGGAUGUUUGCACAGGCUUCCCCUGGCUUCAGCCAGGGGUCAAUCAAACAAAAUAAUUUUUGAAGGUAGUAAAAAAAUUUUUGAUGCCAGCUACACAGAGUCAAGCCAGCGUAGGAAUUCACUGUCAAACCAGGGUAAAGAAUUUUGUCAAGAUAAGUUGUCAUUUUCUUCGAUUAAUUCCAUUGGAACUCAGUAGAUGUGGUAAUUGUUUGUGAGUGAUGUUUUCUAUUGAAUGCACUCAUAGUGUUUGAUAAAAUUACUUAUCCAACUGAUUUUUCUUUGAUAAAAUUGUUUAAGUGAAUUGCUUAUCUCAAUUACAAUUAAAGUGGCUCUCUACGCCUAAAUUAGCAUCACUGUUUUUUUUUUCGUAGUGGUGUUUGAUGCUGUAAGAUUAUAUGGUUUGAAAGAUUAUCAGUUGAGUGGCGUUUUUGUUUUCUUUGUCUUAACUAUAGUAGAUUUCGAAAUUUAUGUUUCUAAGGAUGAAGGGAGAGCUCUGCUUAGAUAACAGACAUUAUAUCAUGAAAGUAAGAUGUUUCUGUGUUUGUGCUAAAGCCAAUGCCAACAGGGAUUCGAAUGCCCUCUUGGAUAGACGAUUAAAACUUACAUUAGGAGCUUAAACUAUAAUUGCAGGUAUGUCUCCUUUUCAAUACCAUCUAAAACUUCCAUCCAUGCUUAUUUUUGAAUCUUGUGGUGUAUGAUACAGUUGGAACUUGGAAACAUCCGAGAGCUGAUCAAGAUCUGAAAAAAGUGGAUACUGAAUGUUGCUUCUACGUUUUUCCAAGUCUUGGCACAAGAUGCAGUGAAUUUAAAGGCUUUUUGUCAAAGGAGACAAGCUUAAGCCUAAACAAAUGCUAUCAUAUGAGUACCAAGUCUCUUUGUCCUUAACAAUGGUAGUGGAUUCAACUUAAAGUAAAGAAAAGCAAUUCUGUACAUCACUACUCAAACUCAAAGCCUUUUCUUUGUUAGAAGUCGCUCUUCACUCAUCCAAUCUAAUUGUUGGCCACCAUCCAUGCCAAAGUUUGUGAUGUGAGCAAAUUCGUGAAAGAACAUCCAAGAGGAGAAGAUUUUCUGUUACUGUUUUUAGAUAUAUGUUUUCUGUAGUGGUUUAAGGAGAAGAUGUUCUUAAUCUGCUACGCCCAUCGUCAUUUUUGCGAAUUGAACGUGGUUUUUUUCAUGGGAUUUUUUUCUUCAAAAUCGUUUGUUCCUCUUACUCUCUGCAUUUCUGAGUUUACUGUCGUUGUAGUUUUGCAUAUAUCCAGGUGUGUUGAUACAAUGUAUCGUGAUUGUCUGUUUAUCUAAGGUUUUGCAAGAUUUUUGAAAAACAUAUAUAGGUAUACUAUAUAUUUCUAUGAGGUAUUACUUAGUGAAGCUAUCUAUCUCUCGACCUUCUGAUUAGGGAGUGUAGCAAUGAAACCUUUCACAAUUCUUGCAGAAUCUAGCUUUCUCCGCUUCAUUGGAGGCUACCUCGCAUUUUACUUCAUUUUAAAAUUAACUAAAUAAGGUUUUGUGUCGAGUUGACAACCGUCCAUUUAAAAAAAUAGAAAUAGGUUUUACGUAUCUUUUUCUUGUCUUCCGGUCUCAUCAAUCCAAAAUUUUGUUGUGCAGUGAGGCGGGUUUUGGCGAGCCUGGCGACAGAUUUUCGAUGCCCUUACAUUUGCCGUCGGGUAGUACUUCCUCGCUGUUUGUGGCGAUUGCUUAAUCUUUAGCCACUUUCUUUAUAAAAAAUAUGGAUUAUGUUGGCGGUUGUUCUUACAGGGUGUUAUAAGGGGGUACAAGAUUUAUGUUGUAUUAUCUGUCUUUCGUGUUUUUGGUGUGAAGAUUACUCAUCAUUACGGUCAUUCUUUGAUGUGCCAGGUAUGAAAGCUUGGACUAAAUUGUUUGUUUGAACUUUGGGUUUUCUUGCUUUCUUGACUUAUUGCUCACUGAUUAUUUGGGAUGAUACAUGUAUUAAGGUGGGAACGAUUCAGUAACCAAAAAUAGAACUUCCUCAAACGUUGUAUAAAUGAGAGAAUCUUCCGUCCUCAUGCCAAAAUCUAUCCAGGUAUAGAGAGAGAUAACAUUGGAUAUUUGGAUUCUGCAACGGAACUUUAAAUGCUAUGAAUUAAGGGGUCGACGGGGAAUAUGGGGUGCCUUUAUGAACCUUUAAAUGCAAUAAAUCCACGGAGUUUGCCACCAUUUAGCUUGGAUGUAAAGGUGGCAUAUCCAGUAAUGAGGCCACGCAAUGUAGCAACAAGUGAUGGACCCUGCAAUGGAACCAGAGGAUGGACAAGUGAUGCACCCUGCAAUGGAACCAGAGUGUGGAAUUUUUCGGAGAACAUGUAAUUGAAGCAACAAUCUUGACUAGCGACAAACAGGGACCGUUGUAGUUUUCUUCCAAUGAAUAUAACUCACGAGUCACAGGACCAAUCCGUGAAAUUCGUUGGAAACUUGGAAUAAAUUUCAGAACUCCGGACUUCAGCCAUAGACAACUAUAUGUGAUACUCUCAAGAUGCACGACACCCAGGCGGAUCAAGGUAUUAAUGCCGGAGAACAACGAAGGCAACGAGAUGGAUAAUGUGGCUUUUUCGGCAAUGCUUUCGUAGUAUACGUAAUGGCACGGCAGUAGAUGUCUUUCUGAAAUAUAAGAAAGACACAGUGAGAAUGUUGUUCGGUAACAAUUUCUUAUUUGGGUAAUCUUGAAUUUAAUAGUAACAGAUAUAUUCUUUUUGCUGCGAGUCUAUCACAUUUAACGGCAUAUACAUUUGUACCUGACUAUCAAUUUUCGCUGUGAUUUACAAGUUGCCUGGGAAUAAAAUUGAAGGUUUCGUGUA